rnacentral:rRNA from 1 species
GGGCCCGCACAAGCGGUGGAUUAUGUGGAUUAAUUCGAUGCAACGCGAAAAACCUUACCUAGCCUUGACAUGUACCGAAUUUAGCAGAGAUGCUUUAGUGCUCGUAAGAGAACGGUAACACAGGUGCUGCAUGGCUGUCGUCAGCUCGUGUCGUGAGAUGUUGGGUUAAGUCCCGCAACGAGCGCAACCCUUGCCAUUAAUUGCCAUCAUUUAGUUGGGCACUUUAAUGGGACUGCCGGUGACAAACCGGAGGAAGGUGGGGAUGACGUCAAGUCCUCAUGGCCCUUAUGGCUAGGGCUUCACACGUAAUACAAUGGUCGGUACAGAGGGUAGCCAACCCGCGAGGGGGAGCCAAUCCCAGAAAGCCGAUCGUAGUCCGGAUUGUUGUCUGCAACUCGACAGCAUGAAGUCGGAAUC